UCAUUUCCACAAUUCAAUCAAAUUUCAUGGGCUUAAAAACAACAUUUUUGUUAUUCACACAAGUCAAUCAAAUUUCAUGGGUUUAACAUUAACAUUUCAUCAUUUCCACCAUUAAAUCAAAUUUCCUAGGUUUAACAACAACAUUUUCAUCAUGCACACAAUUCAAUUAAAUUUCAAGGGUUUAACAACAACAUUUCCAUAAUUCCCACAAUUCAAUCUAAUUUCAUGGGUUUAAC
rnacentral:lncRNA from 1 species